UAAGUCUGGAAUCGUUGUGAUAAUUCUCACAGUUGCUGGAAUAACAUAUUGUACAACUUUAUAAGAAAAUAUCAAUAAUAUUGAAUCAAUGCCUUAUUCUUUUUUACUUUUGUGUCAAACGAAAUGAAUUUACAUCAUUAAAAGGAAUGAUUUAUUAAGUUUUGUUUUAGUUAUGCAGGUAUUGGACUGAAUCAUUUUCAUGCUCUAACGUGUGUCAAAUUAAUAUUCUGAAGUUAUUUGUCAUUGAAUUCAGAUGAAAUCUUAAACGUCUAUGAAUAUUUAUAUUAAUGUCAUAGGAAUUGAUUUUCAGUAUAAAAAAAUAAAAAUCCAUUAAAAA
rnacentral:sRNA from 1 species